rnacentral:rRNA from 1 species
UAGGGAGACUGCCGGUGAUAAGCCGGAGGAAGGUGGGGAUGACGUCAAGUCCUCAUGGCCCUUACAGGCUGGGCUACACACGUGCUACAAUGGCGGUGACAAUGGGAUGCGAAGGUGCGAGCCUUAGCAAAUCUCCAAAAGCCGUCUCAGUUCGGAUUGUACUCUGCAACUCGAGUGCAUGAAGGUGGAAUCGCUAGUAAUCGUAGAUCAGAACGCUACGGUGAAUACGUUCCCGGGCCUUGUACACACCGCCCGUCACACCAUG